rnacentral:lncRNA from 1 species
AGCAGCUGAAUCUCAGUGGCCAUGACAGCAAGGCAACAACGGGGCCAGCUCCCCAAGGUCCAUAUUUAUCUUAAUUCCAAGGCCAGAAUUCAGGUAGGAAGCCACAAAAACCAAUCUGCAGCUAAUUGAAUCAGAAAUCUAUGAAAGGUACAGUGCAGACUGAAGAAGAUGACUGAGAGGCUUCAUAAUGAGGAACAGCACCCAAAAUCACGCUGCGGAACAGCUCUCAGAGAACAGCACUGCAGUGACAGAGACGGCACCACUGCAGCACCAGCGCCGGUGCAGGACUGGAUGCUCAUGCACAUCUCAGGCCUCCAGAUGCCCGCGACCUUCUCCCCUUCAGCCUCUUCCAUAACCACACUACUCCUUUCCUCCAUCGGCUUCUCCCCUGACUGCACAGAAGCCCAUUUCCCCACCAUGACGAAAAAAAACCUUUCCCAGAUCUAAGGCAAAGGGAAAAACAUACAAGACAGAAUGUAAAUUUGUGCUGCCAGGGGCUGGGAAAGGAGGGGAUGGGGAGUGACUGAUGAAUGGGUAUGGGCUCUCCUUCCGGAGUGAUCAAAAAGUGUUCUGGAACUAGAGUGGUAAAGAAGGUACGACCUCGUAAAUGUACUAAAUGUCAGUAAUGAUAAAUUGUAUGUUACAUGUUACCACCAAAACAACAAAAACAUCUCUGGCCUCCCUCAGAUUCCACGAUAUUACUCAGUACUUUUGUUCUCUCUCCUCUCCCCUCCCUCCCUAGCUUCCUUCUCUUCCAAGCCUGAAAUGCAAACAUUUUCCUCCUCCUCACUCUCAUCCUUCUGUCUCCACAUUCUCUCAUUUGGAGAUAUCAUCUAUGAUCAGUAGCAAUUCCACUAUCCACCCUAAGGAAGAGAGCUCUACAGCAAACCUUAGAAAACUUUUUCAGUGAAGGGCCAGAGAGUAAACAUUUCAGGCUUUCAAAGCCACAUGGUCUCUGUUGCAGCUAUUUAACUCUAUGUGGAAGCAGCCAGAAACAAUAAGUAAAC